UUCGUAGGUGGCCAACUAAGUCAGACGUGAAAUCCCUCAGCUUAACUGGGGAACUGCGUCUGAGACUGGAUGGCUUGAGUGCAGGAGAGGAACGCGGAAUUCCAGGUGUAGCGGUGAAAUGCGUAGAUAUCUGGAGGAACACCGGUGGCGAAGGCGGCGUUCUGGACUGCAACUGACACUGAGGAACGAAAGCCAGGGAGCAAACG
rnacentral:rRNA from 1 species